CUGCCAGUAGUCAUAUGCUUUGUUCAAGGGCUAAGCCAUGCAAGUCUCAGCGCACAUGGUCACAACAGUGGGUCUGUGAAUGGCUCCUUACAUCAGCAGUCAUCUAUGCGACAGAGUGUGGUUGGCACCAGGCAGCCAUCGGUGCCCAGUUGGACAUCCUCCAAAACCUUGUGGCUAAUACACGUUCGCUCAGGUCGGCCAUGGUACACACUUGGGUUCCAGGCGCUUCCACGCUCGGCCCCCGCUCAGAGGGGUGUGGUGGUUGAUGGCACCCAGCUGGCACUAAGACCAGCGUCCCUCACCGGACAGUGUGUUGUGGUUGACCCAGGCUGGUCCCCAUGGGACGGCUGCGCUGGCAGAGUUUCGGUGGCCCCGUCACAACGGGCCACAGCCUCGGCUUGGUCGCACGGACUUCUGACCUAUCAGCUUCGACUGUGGUGUCGUGGACCCCAGUGGCCUUGACGGGUAACGGAGAAUCAGGGUUCGAUUCCGGAGAGGGAGCCUGAGAGACGGCUACCACUACCAAGGUGGGCAGCAGGCGCGCAAAUUGCCCAAUGCAAACCAAGUCUGCGAGGCAGCGACGAACUGCAGCAAUUCCACCGGCCUUCUUCGCCGGUGGAACUUGGAAUGGAUGCAAUCCAAAGACAGUGAUGAGUAACAACUGGAGGGCAAGUCUGGUGCCAGCAGCUGCGGUAAUUCCAGCUCCAAGGGCGUAUACUAACAUUGCUGCGGUUAAAACGCUUGUAGUCUGCCACUGGGUCGCAGGUCUGCCGGGUGGCCGUGCUGUGGUGCGGCGGGUGGGUGCCGUUCGCCCUCCCCCAUCCGCGUCGUGUCCCUCGGGGCGCGGCCGGGUGCGGGGCGGGGUGGCCGGUGGCCCCCUGCCUGCCACGGUGCGGGUAAAACCCCCGGCGGUAUGCUCCUGCACCCGCCAAGUUUGCUCUCGACGGUGUGAACUGCUCCUGCCCAAAGGCCCCCUUCACUGGGUGCCCCCAGCGGUUUCGCCCAGAACGCAGGUGUGGACAGUCACAGGCGGACCGGUGCCUCCCGUCAUUGCCCGUGCCCGGUACCCUUUGCAACCGCCCGUCCACCACCGGAGCCCACCGUCACAGACACCGUGGAAAACUCAGUGUGCCCAAGGCGUCCACCACUCGGCUGGAUGCCCGUCCAUGGCAUGUCAAUGUACCGACCAAGCGCGGCACAGUGGAGUUGUGCUGGCCUUGGCGCCCGCUCUGGGCAAUGUGGUGUGUGCACCGGCGCCCACCGUCCGCAAGCCGCUGAACUCCCUGCCGACAGUCCGGUCGUCCCCCCGCCCUCGUGGUGGGGUGGGCUCUUGGCCUAGGUGGGGUGGGACCCGGUGGGCGGCGGGCCGUCCGGCAGCGCACAUCGACCGAAUCCGAUGGGACCAGUCAGGGUGAAAGGUACUACGGCGCCAGAGGUGAAAUUCUUAGACCGCCGCAAGACCACCGGCGGCGAAGGCGCUUUGCAAGGCUGUGUUCGUCGAUCAAGAACGAGAGUCCGGGGAGCAAAGAUGAUCAGACACCGUCGUAGUCCGGCACCGUCAACCGUGCCAGCUCGGCCUCGGUGGGGAAAUUCCAUCGACCCCGCCGGGGCCACGCCCCCUCCAACGAGCAAUCCAAGCCCAUGGGUUCCGGGGGGAGUACCGUCGCAAGGCUGAAACUUAAAGGAAUUGACGGAAUGGCACCACAAGGCGUGGAGUAUGCGGCUUAAUUUGACUCAACACGGGGAAUGUUACCAGGUCAGGACAUCGCUGGGAUGGACAGACUGAGAGCUCUUUCUUGAUCCGGUGGACGGUGGUGCAUGGCCGCUCCUGAUUGGUGGAGUGAUUUGUCUGGUUGAUUCCGAUAACGAGUGAGACAUCCGCCUCCCACUAGCCUCGGGCUCGCAUCUGGUAGGGUUUUGGCCCGCGACGGAGAUGCGGCCUGUGGGGUCCCGUGCGUCGUGCCCCCCGUCCCCGUUCGGUGCCCCUUCGCGGGGGUGUCGGGCGGGGGUGCGGCGGGUGCGGCGUGUGGGAACCAACCCCGCGGGCACGCGCCUGCGGACCGCCCGAGAGCCCGAGUGUAAAUGCUUCUCUGAGGUGCUGUGUCCGCCACCAAGGCCAUGCAUGCUAGAGCCAACAGCAGGUCUGUGAUGCUCCCAGAUGUCCUGGGCCGCACGCGCACUACACUGACCCGGUGAGGGGGUCACCGUCCGCUGGCCUUCCCGGCCAGCCCUGCCCGGAAGUGGGUGGGAAACCCUGCAAGUCCGCGUCGUGCUGGGGAUAGAUGCUUGCAACUGUCUGCCUUGAACGUGGAAUGCCUAGUAGGCGUGAGUCAUCAGCUCACACCGAUUGUGUCCCUGCCAUUUGUACACACCGCCCGUCGUUGCUACCGAUGGCGGCUGGAUAGAGCCAUCCAGAGGCCCGUGCCCGGACCCGCUCGCGGGGCCGCGGCGCGGCCGAAAUCGGGCGAUGUCCAGCUGCUAGAGGAAGCAAAA
rnacentral:rRNA from 1 species